CCUACGGGUGACAGCAGUAGGGAAUAUUGCUCAAUGGGGGAAACUCUGAAGCAGCAACGCCGCGUGGAGGAUGAAGGUUUUAGGAUUGUUAACUCCUUUUGUUAGAGAAGAUUAUGACGGUAUCUAUCGAAUAAGCACCGGCUAACGCCGUGCCAGCAGCCGCGGUAAUACGGAGGGUGCAAGCGUUACUCGGAAUCACUGGGCGUAAAGAGUGCGUAGGCGGGGUAAUAAGUCAGAUGUGAAAUCCUGUAGCUUAACUACAGAACUGCAUUUGAAACUGUUACUCUGGAGUGUGGGAGAGGUAGGUGGAAUUCUUGGUGUAGGGGUAAAAUCCGUAGAGAUCAAGAAGAAUACUCAUUGCGAAGGCGACCUGCUGGAACAUUACUGACGCUGAUGCACGAAAGCGUGGGGAGCAAACAGGAUUAGAUACCCGUGUAGUC
rnacentral:rRNA from 1 species